UGCAAACUGCUUUCUCACCUACCACCUGAAAAGGUGUUUUGUCCCUCUUACCCAUGGUACUAUCCUUAGCUUCUUCAAUACGCUUCUUUGUUGCAUACUAAGGAUAUUUCAUAUACUCUGGGACUGAUGAGUAUUGCAACGCCUAGAAUCCAUUCCUCAUAUGUUGGAAUCUAUCUUCACUCAGAUCAUGAGGCUCGACGUUCUCUGACACAUGACAAAUGCUCUACGAUUCAUGUCAUGAUACUCUACGAUUCAGAUCGUAGUGCCUUAUCAUCUUGGUGCCUUGUCUGAUGCUAUCAGCCAAGAGCACUACAAUUCUUCUUAAACCUCUGCACACUACGAUCUUCACUUGCUCGUGUUGUUGACUCUAUGUUUCCGAGAGCACACUACGAUCGUUGACUUGGCUCGGCAAAUGUUGGGACUACUCUACGAUUUCCGAAGUGUCCCUUCAAGGUAGGCACAUUACGAUCUUCAGGCUCUACGUUUUUGCCUUGACUUCUAUAAUGUUGAUCAGAUGAUACACUACGAUUUCUUUGAAGCCUAUCUAUUACAUCUCAAGAUCAAC
rnacentral:lncRNA from 1 species